CCUACGGGAGGCAGCAGUGGGGAAUAUUGCACAAUGGGGGAAACCCUGAUGCAGCGACGCCGCGUGAGUGAGGAAGUAUUUCGGUAUGUAAAGCUCUAUCAGCAGGGAAGAAAAUGCAGGUACCUGACUACGAAGCCCCGGCUGACUACGUGCCAGCAGCCGCGGUAAUACGUAGGGGGCAAGCGUUAUCCGGAUUUACUGGGUUUAAAGGGAGCGUAGACGGUGAAGCAAGUCAGAAGUGAAAACCCAGGGCUCAACUUUGGGACUGCUUUUGAAAAUGAGUAUCUAGAGUGCAGGAGGGGUAAGCGGAAUUCCUAGUGUAGCGGUGAAAUGCGUAGAGAUUAGGAGGAACGCCAGUUGCGAAGGCGGCUUACUGGACUGUAACUGACGUUGAGGCUCGAAAGCGUGGGUAUCAAACAGGAUUAGAUACCCUAGUAGUC
rnacentral:rRNA from 1 species